rnacentral:rRNA from 1 species
UACGUAGGUGGCAAGCGUUGUCCGGAUUUACUGGGCGUAAAGAGCGCGCAGGCGGUUGUGCAAGUCGCGUGUGAAAGCCCCCGGCUCAACUGGGGAGGGUCACUCGAUACUGGUCGACUCGAAGGCAGGAGAGGGAAGCGGAAUUCCCGGUGUAGUGGUGAAAUGCGUAGAUAUCGGGAGGAACACCAGUGGCGAAGGCGGCUUUCUGGCCUGCUCUUGACGCUGAGGCGCGAAAGCUAGGGUAGCAAACGGG